rnacentral:rRNA from 1 species
UACGGAGGGUGCAAGCGUUAUCCGGAUUCACUGGGUUUAAAGGGUGCGUAGGCGGCGCGGUAAGUCGGAUGUGAAAUCUCGGAGCUUAACUUCGAAACUGCAUUCGAUACUGCCGUGCUUGAGGACUGGAGAGGAGACUGGAAUUUACGGUGUAGCGGUGAAAUGCGUAGAUAUCGGGAGGAACACCAGUGGCGAAGGCGGCUUCCUGGCCUGUUCUUGACGCUGAGGCGCGAAAGCUAGGGGAGCAACGGGG